rnacentral:misc_RNA from 1 species
CACCACUCAAGCCUCGCUUGGUAUUGGGUGCCGCGGGUGGCCCUGCCCCCGCGCGCCUCAAAGACUUCGGCCGAGCACUUCAGUCUCUCAGCGUUGUGGAAACUUUUCGCUAGGUGGAUUUGAAGGGCCCGACGCCGUUAAACCUCUUAUAUUACA